UAGCGGAGGGUGCGAGCGUUGUCCGGAAUCACUGGGCGUAAAGGGCGCGUAGGCGGCCUGAUAAGGUAGGGGGUGAAAUCCUGCGGCUUAACCGCAGGGCUGCCUUCUAAACUGUCAGGCUCGAGCACAGUAGAAGGCACGGUGGAAUUCCCGGUGUAGGCGGAUGGAAUGCGUAGAGAUCGGGAAGAACAUCAGUGGCGAAGGCGGCCUGCGUGGGCUGUUGCUGACGCUGAGGCGCGAGCAGCGUGGGGAGCAACAGG
rnacentral:rRNA from 1 species